rnacentral:rRNA from 1 species
GGACUACAGGGGUUUCUAAUCCUGUUUGCUCCCCUAGCUUUCGUUCCUCAGCGUCAGUUAUGGUCCAGCGCGCCGCUUUCGCCACGGGUGUUCCUGCAGAUAUCUACGCAUUUCACCGCUACACCUGCAAUUCCACGCGCCUCUCCCACACUCCAGCAAAGCAGUUUUGAAAGCAGCCUCUGAGUUAAGCCCAGAGAUUUCACUCCCAACUUGCCUCACCGCCUACGAACCCUUUACACCCAGUAAUUCCGAACAACGCUGGCCCCCUACGUAUUACCGCGGCUGCUGGCAC